UUAAAAUUUAUUUAGUGUGUUAUUGAGGAUUGUAUUUUGGAAAAUUGUCCAGAGAUACGUUUUGUUAGACUGUUUAAAUGCAGCUUAAAUUAUAGUUUUUAUGUAGGGAGUGAAGAUCCAGUAUGUAUAAAAUUAUAUUAAAAUUUGGGCCUAAGAGUAUAUUUGGUUAUAGUUUGUGGGAACAUAAUUGUUGAUCUUGGCAGGCAUGAUUUUAUGUGUAAGAACAGGUAAGGACCAAGUUCAUUUAUUUUUUAAGGAAUGUAAUAUCUUAGGCAAGAGAUGUGGGGAGCUGUGUGCUCUAUCUUGUUUAUGUCUUUAAGGCAUUAUUUUGGAGAUCCAUACUUAGUAACAGAAUCAGGGGGACUAAAAUUAUGAUGGCAAGUAAACAUGACUUCUUAUAUUUGUUAUUUUUUGUCAAAUAUUUGGCAAAAACAAAAGGAGUUUUACUGAGAACAUGAAGAAUUAAGUGAGAGAUUGUGUAUCUCCAUUUGUCAAAGAAUCCUGAAACAUGUUCUAGGACAUGCUUCAUUCAUCCUUAUGCUAAUUAUGAUAUUAAGAAGAGGGAAGGAGCCGGGCAUGGCGGCUCAUGCCUGUAAUCUCAGCACUUUGGAAGGCUGAGGUGGGUAGAUUGCCGGAGGUCAGGAGUUCAAGACCAACCUGGCCAAUAUGGUGAAACCCCAUCUCUACUAAAAGUACAAAAAUUAGCUGGACAUGGUGGUGUGCACCUGUAAUCCCAGCUACUUGGGAGGCUGAGGCAGGAGAAUUGCAUGAACUUGGGAGGCAGAAGUUGCAGUGAGCUGAGACUGCACCAUUGCACUCCAGUCUGGGCGACAAGAGUGAAACUUCGUCUCAAAAAUAGAUAAAUAAAUAAAACGAAUUAAGAUUCUUUAUUCUUAAGAAACUGUUAGGCGUAACUAGAUAAUACAUCAAAGUAUACCGAGUUCAUUAGACAAUGUUAUUUUGAUAAGGAAUACUCUACAGUUUCUGAAAGAAAAAUGGUUAUCCAUUUGUUUUUCUUAGCAUUUUAGUGCUCGCUAUGUGCUAUACCACAAGUUAGGUUGCGAUGAUGUAAAAAUCAAUUGUAUGUGCAUUUCCACAAGGAGAUUGGAUUUAUAUUUGUGAAUAGGAUUGAUGGGGAAUGUAUCCCUAGCAAAUGGGCUUUGAUUUGAGGGAAGCAGAUAUGGGUACAACUGAUUGUAUGGGUAAAAUGUAAUGGGAGGAUAGAGAAAGGACACUGUUAGUUGGGUAAUUGUUAAUGGAGAUAGUGGUACUUAAGCUGGAAGCGCAGUUAGAAUUUUGAAGACUAGAUCAGGUCAGAAAUGAUGAGGCUCAGAAUUAGGGUUGUGGCAGUGAAAAGUGAGAACGGGGCAGACAGAUGUUGCAGAAUGAGGUCAAAAGGACUUGAUGAUUCCAUUGGAAUCAUCUCUGAUACCAUGUUGUCUGUUUUAAGAAAUGCAUGGAAGCUCAUCAUUAAUAGCAAGAACUUCUACAUUUUUUCCCCUUGAACUCCUAUUUUUAUUAGACUUUCUUCCUUAGAAGUUUAUCCUAAAGUAAUGUAUUCAAUGAUACAAAGUAAUUGUGUUUCUCUACAGCAAAAUAAGUAUAUAUGUUGAAGUUAUUGUUGAUGAAACAAAAAUAUAUCACACAUUUUGAUAAAGGUAAUAAAACAUUUAAAUUUUAUUGAAAAUUAGGUUCUGAGAAAGGGUUUCAGUUUUUAAAAAAUUUAGUUAUCAAUGGAUAGAUGUUAUUCCUAAUGAAUUCAGCAUCAAUUUAGUCCUCUUUCUCAAUUAUAUAUGUGUAGACACCAAGGAACUUUUUCACAAUCAAAUGUUAAUUGCAAUUAUUUUAGUGAUACUCAGAGAUACUCAGUUUUUUGAAUUUUUAAAAAGUUCAUUAUAUGCCCCAAAAAAAUCAUAGAUCUCUGUCUCAAAAUUAUUAGAUCCUUCUUUGUAUUUUUUGAAACAGUCUGACUUAUAUAAGGAUUUAUUACCCAGCUGUUAGAAUCAUUCAUUUUUUAAUUUCUGAAAGUAUGCCAGAAAAUGAUUACUGGCUUGAUGAGGAGAAAAAUCUGUAAAGCUCUUGUUGCAUAUAUUGUCAAAUUGCUUUUUAGGAAAGUCAUACUAAUUUAUACUUCCAUCAAUGGCAGUUGAGUGAUAAUCUCAAUGUCUUCUCACCAUCAUUUUCUUUAAUAUUCAUUAAUUUCAUGGGUGAAGAAAUGACAUUUUGCUGUUUUAAUUUGCAUUUCAUGGAUAACUAAUGAGGCUAAUAAUGUCUCAUAUGUUUGUUAGUGAAUUCAUAAAACCAGGAGAGAUAUCUUUUUAUAUUAUUUGUUUCUCUGUUACAGUACUAGUUAUAUAUACUCUAUGUACUCUAUAACAAAUAUAUAAACUGUAUAUUUAGGACCGUUAGAUUUAUCAUAUUUGCACAUUGAAUGAGUAUAUAUAAUAGAGAAUAGAAAAGUUAUAGAAGAGCACCUGGCCCGCAGUAAAUAAUGUAUAAGUCAACCAAACUCAGAAGCAUUGUUAUUACAAUGAUAAAUAUUUCUUCCAAUUUGACUUUAAAUGUUUUUAUUUUAACAUAAUGCUGCCUUUUUUUUUUUUUGCCUUGGUGUUCCAGAGUUCUUCUGAGCUGAGAGAUUGUUAUUCAAUAAAGAAGGUGUUAUGAACUGUUUUUAUUUUCCCAAUAUUCAUUUGUUAAUUUGGGGAUGAGGGCUUUGGGAGAUAAUUAGGGUUAGGUGAGGUUAUAAGGGUGGGUCUCUUAGGACUAGUGGCUUUUCUUUUUAAUAUGCAAGAUUUCAUCAUGAAUUAGUGGCCUUAUGAUGGGACGAAAGAGAGAUCUCCCUUCUUCUUAAUGUGUAUGCAUCAAGGAAGAAAGGUAAAGUAAGAAGGCAGCUGUCUGCAAGCCAGGGAAAGAGUCCUCAGCAAGAACUGAAUUAUCCAGCACCUUUAUCUCAUGCUUCCUAGUCUCCACAACUGUGAGGAUCAAUUUCUGUUUAAAUUAUCCAUUUGGCCUUCUGUUAUGGUAGCCUGAGAUGAUUACUAUAGAAGACUUCCUUAGAAAUUAUGAACUAUUUGUCCUUGGAAAGUUGGUAUAGUUACAAAUAAUGUUGAUCCUCAUCCUCUCCUUGAACAUGUUGAUUUAUGUACAGGAAUUACUUGGUGAAUAGAAUUUUCUUUUAGCCAUUUUUAACUUGAGAUUUCAUAUCAGUUUUUUCCCUAAGAAAUUAAAUGAUAUUUAAAAAUGGUCUAUUUAUGUCAAAAUAUAUACACAUAAACUUAUGGACACAUGAGUGAUAGUCAAAUUUCAAUCACUAAUGUGGCAUGAGCACUGACCCACCAGAAUGGCCGCGGUAAUUCACCACAGAGCGGUAUUGCAUCAUCCUGAGUGAGAGUGAAGAAGCAUUUAGGUAGAGGGAAACUGAUAGAUGUGUUUGAGAUUUUAAAAUUAUUUCUCAAACUUUUACACCAAAAUAUAUCCUGGUACACAUGCAACUGCUAUGGCUCUGUCAGAGUCGUUUAGUUAGGAAACUACCCACAGAAGAAAAUAAGGAAAAUGAAUUCUGUAGGUAGAGAAAUGUAAUGACUAAGAUUUUAAAUGUUAUGACCAAGAUACAUGUUUAGUGGAUAAAAAUUAAUAAAAAUAAUAAAAAUAAAUUAAGAAACUUUCCUUCCUAGGGCAGCAUAAGAUCAUUUCAGAAUGAAGAUGCUUUGGGAUCUGACUUUGGACUGUAAGAAUGAUCAAACUCUGAAUGGGUGCAAAGGUAGCGGAUGACCUUCAAAGGAUGGUGAGAUUAAAGUUACCUACACCUAGAGAAAUAAUUGGAGUACAUGUCUAUUUGGGCCAAGAGGAUAAAGGCCAGUAGAGGAAUCAGAUCAAAGAACUUCCUCGGGAAGUGUGCAGAGAACUGGAGUGGACCUUCUCCUAGGAAGCGGCCCAAAAGGAGAGUGCUGGAAAGCUGGCCGCAGUGAGGCGCUUCAGAUCCCAAGGGUAUGCUGGGGAAGCUGCCACAGGUGGGAGCACUUGCUGCUGGCCCCUAGGCACUGUUGAAACAACUGCACCCUCUGCAGGAGCCCAACAAGGUGAGUACAGCAGAACAAGAGAAAACACUCUUUCCUUCAGUGCUCCUCCACUGACAGAGCUGAACAUUGGGCCAGCUGGUGAUGGGAAGGUAUUUACAGAAUUCAGCUCCAUGGAAAGAAAGGAGGAUUUGGAGCUGAGAGGCAAUAAAUCAAUAACAUGUGCUGUGCUCUAGAUGCCUCCCCACCACCUCUCAUUUCCCAAAUGCCCAUGACCUUGUGCUCCUUGCUUUCUGGAGAAAUUCUACUUAAACUAAAACAUUUGCCGUAUGGUGCCCUCUUUUGUGCUUAAAGCCUACUAUGAGACUCAAAGUCUUUUAAUGAAGCAAAAGACCUAGUGCACAGCAUAACAUGCCCUGCACGUAAAAUAAUUACAGCUCUGUGCCAGGUGUCAUUACAUUGGACAAGUUCUCGCAACAGUUCAUAGAGAUUGAUCUGAGGCUCUGGUAGAGAACGGUAAGAAAGCAAUUUAGAAAAGCAAUAAUAAAAUGGAUCGUGGCAACCCAAGUCUAUUCACUGAGAAUUACCUUAAAUAUAUUUGCCAUUUUAGUUUUCUGGAGUGUUUCCUUUGUAAUCACAUGAAACCCUAAGGAACUUUAUUUUCUUUAUCCAGGCUUUCAAAUUACAUCUGCAGAAGACAAGGCAAAUAGUUAUUUAGGUCAGCAUAGUUUUCAUCUGUAUUUAUUUUCCGUGUAUAUUACUUAAUAAACAACAUAAAUGAAAAGGCACUUAGUCUUAACACAGAAAAACUGAAAUCUGUCUUUUUAAAUCUAAUUCUAGUCAAUUAAAAUCAAACCAGAAUUUAUACUUCUUCACUAUCUUGGGGCAGAGACUGAGACUUUGGUAGAUUUGCUGAUUUGUUGUUUGCUGAGCUAAAGAUCUUUCCUCCAACACCCCGCUCCAACAUACUCACAUAUUCAUGAAACACAACAGCGAUCCUGUACAAGAAAUCACCAUCCUGGGCAAUCAUUACCCUGACAAGAAAUCAGCACAUGCAGACGUUUGCUACCAAGGGAGGGCUGCACAGCUCAGGCACUGCUCAGCUAAGCCCCCUAGGAAAGACAUUGCAGAGGCUUUGUCAGGGCUGCAGCUGACAGCUACAUGGGAAUUGGGAUUCACUGACUUGCCCAGCCUCCUUGCUUUCUCUAUUCCUGAAGAGGAUGAAGAAGACAAUCCAGAAUCAAGGAAGAAGAAGCAAUUUCCUCUUUGCUUAAGAGGGAUUUUGGCUAGCAUCUUUCAAACAUGAAAUAGGACCCAUGAAGGAGCUUUUCAAAACAAUCAGCAUAUAGUGAAUCACAAAUGCUAAUCUUUAGCAUUUUAAAGUAUGAUACAUUUUCUGCUACAUGUAUUUUACAAACAAAAAACAAGAAACAAAGUGUAGGUAACAACAACAACGACAACAGCAAAAGGAUUAUGGUGAUUGCCAAGCAGUUAAUUAUUUUGUUAUUUUCUGGAUUUUAUGAUAUUUGUGGUGUUGUCAGCAUUUUAAUAUCUAUAAUAAUGUCUCAUCGUAAAUAUUCACUUUAUUGAAAGAACAUAUGGGUUAAGCACCACCAGAAAACCAAGAAACAGAUUUUCCUUCUAUGAAUAAGUCAAUAAAAAAUGAAGAUACAAAGAAGGGGAAAUAUGGAAUGUGGAAGGGAGCUUUUGGAGGCAUGGCAGAAACAUUAACACGAGUGAAGAUCCCCCAAAAGAGAACUCUGAUAGGUUUAUAGACUUUUUUUCUUUAAGGGAGUUAUAUAAGGGGAAAUACAAUCAAUUCUAGGGUUUAAAUAUACACACAGAGGACUUUACAGUUUUGAGAAAAAAAUCACUUAAUAAAAGAAUCAAGUCUUUUAUACCUGUUAGACUCAUCAUCUCUAGGGAGAUCAUUCAUUUAACCAAGACUAUAGUCAGAGAUAGCCAAUGGGAUAACAUGAUAUCCCUCAAGAGCUUUUGAGAGAUUAGUAAUAUGAUGCCAUAUCCCUUAUCAAAUAAUAUUUUGCUAGGAAUUAGAGUGUGCUGAGUUUUUAAAAGAUCAUUGUGCGAAAGAAUUUGAAAUUAUUAUUAUGAUUAUUACUAUUAUUAUUUAGCACAGAAUGACAGAAUGGUUUCAGGGACUAAUAAUCAGCCAAAUAACUCUUACAAUUGCUUGUUACAAACAUUCCCAGGCUGAUAGUGGCCAAAACCCAUUCUGAUUGGACAGUUGUACAAUAGACUACUGUAUUUAUGUUUCCCUAGACUUAAGCCUGAAACAGGAAGAAUUUUCUGCCUUAGCAGCCACCUCUCCCCAUCCUUAAGUCUUCUCUUCCGUAAUUGUUUGCUUUCUCUAGCUACCUCUUAAUUUUUGUUGUUUACUGAAGUCCCGCUGUGCUAUCAUUACAUGUGCCAUGAAACUUCAUCACUUAGCAGAGUUGGUGAUAGCAUACCCUAUACCAGGAGGGGGUACAGAAUCAGAAAUCUGUUGAAUCAGCUUCUCCUACUGCAUAAACUGCUCCUCCAAAGGGAGUUAGGCUCAUUGGGAGCCUUUAAUAAUCCAGGCCACUGGGGUACCACUUCAUAAAUUACUAUUUCUUCAUGAUAAGCUUUUCUCUUCAGUUGCAAUUUCCUUGGCUGCUAGUGGUGGCUGCUUGCAAUAUCCAAAAAAAAGUGAGAAAGUGGGGCAAUGAUAGGGAAAUAAUAGAAGCAGGAUCCAGAGCUUGAAAUAGUUUUAGAACAGCACUGCUGACUGUAAAACAGUCAGCUCUACUGAGUGGAGUAAUGUUAGAUGUUUUAUCCAUCCAUCCAUCUGUUCACCCAGAUGGUAGAAUAAAUAUUCCAAAAAAAACCUUGGAUAUUAUGUGGGGAAAGUUGUAAGAUUAAAUGUAAAAGGGAUACAUAUAAUCCCUAAAUUUAGGUGUAAAAAAUUAAUCAUACAAUUACAGAACGGAGGAUUCCUAUGUUGAGUACUUGUGUCCACGUGUGAAAAAUAACAGGUGAUUAAAAACAUCAGCCAAUAGCUGCAAGAAAACUCUGCAAUCAUGUAAACAGAAUUAGAAUGUCAAUCUCAAUUGUAUAAGAGUUAUUAUUUUUUUAAUGAUGUUUGGCUCACAUCAGGCCAUUUGGUUCUGAACACCACAUUCAAGAGGAGCAUUGUACACUGGAAUUUGCAAACUGAAACUGGAAGAUAGAAGUUUAUUUCUCUCUCCAGUCAUAAAGCUGUUGGAAAGUGAUACUGGGAGCUGCUAGUGACCAUCUUUCCAGUUCUAUGUGUGUUUGUGUUGGUGAGUGGUAUCAACUUCUACCUCUAUCCAUAGAAAAAUAACAAUAUUUAUCCUCCUAAAUCUGCUAUUUCCUGAAUGAGCAAAUUAUCUUACAUCUGUUUUCAACAAGGGGAUGGGAUUUUAAUACUAGUGCAGAGAUGGUGUCAAAACUGCAGGCCCUAUGUAUGACAAAGUAUCAGAUCUGGGCUGUAUUCAUAAAGAUAAACAGAAAAGUGCUCCAUGGAGAUGCCUUCAUAAGCCAGGACACAUGUAAGACUGUCAUCAUAAUUAGCAUACAAUCAAAAGCUACAAAACACCAAGGCAGUCUACCACGCUGUGAUUGUCUGCCCCUGUAAUGAUUGGAAGCAUUCCAAUGACUGGAAUUACAGAUAAUAGAGCAACUUAGGAUAAAUUAAGAUAUCAGUAUCUUUAAAAUGUUUAGAAUAUAUGAAGAAUGAACUGAAUAAUAGACAUUAUUUUAUGAAAAUUAUAGGAAGGCGUGAAAAAGAAAAAACAAUUUCAGAGAUUAAAAAAAGUCAUUGAAGUGAAAAAGUCAAUAGAUGGGCUAAAUGGUAGACUAACUUCAUUGAAAAGAGAAUUAAUGAAAUGCAAAAUAGAAUUGAAGAAAUAAGAAUACAGCAGAAAGAAAUAAACAGGAAAUAUACAGAGACUGAUUUACCGGAUUUAUAAUGAAGUAAUGAUGCUUAAGCUCUAGGGCCCUCAAUUGCAUAGACCCUUCAGCAUAUGCUCCUCCUAAGCAGUGUGUUUAUACUGUUAUAUGUUGCUAAACAAAUUUGCAAAGUGAGAUUUUUAACUGCAAUUGAUGAAGACUGCAGAAAUUUUUCAUUCUGCUUGGCUUCUGUCAUACUUUUCUUAUGUUAGAUAGCAUUCAAGAGUCCAUGCACAUUUUUUGACCAAUGAUGACUUGUGGCACUAAAAAAAACUGUCAAUAAUAACCAAGCUAGAGGAGAGAUUAAAUAUUUUUCAUUCCCUCAAUUGAAAAAUAUAUUACAUAAUUAUUGUCACAGGAAAAUAUGCACCCAAAAAAGAAGAAGAAUAAAACUAUUAUGGAGGUAUUCCAGUAGUUAAUAUACAUAUUACAAUAUUUUUCUGGAGUUUAUUAUGUUUGUAGAAUUUGUUUGUUUUGUUUCAAUUUACAAUUUGUGUGAUUUACUUCUCAUUCUAAAGAAAUAUGUACUUCAUAUCUAAUUUUCUACUCGUACUUUUGUAUUCUUUCCCAGAUCUUUUCUGGGAGUCUAAGUUUAAAGACUCCCAGAUUGUCUAAACUGCAGGUCCCAAAAAACCUGGAUCUGUCUCGGGAAGUAUGAAAGACAGGUUGACACAUGGAAGAUAAAAUGAGAAGCUCCAAUUUAAGUUAACUAAGAUUCAAAUGAGAAUAAAAAAAUUUGGAAGAGACAAUAUUUAAAGAGAUAUGUUAGAAAAUUUUCUCAAAUUGCAAGACUUAAAUCUUAAGUUGAAAAAAGUACAUUAAGUUCUGAAUAGUGCAAAACCAAAAUCUUCACCUAAAUACAUCGUAAGGAAAUUACAGAUUAUCAUAAACAAAGAGAAACUCUUAAAAACUACCAAAGAAAGAAAACCUAUAAAGAUACUAAUCAAAAUAAAAGUAGGCUUUUUAUUAGCGUUAAUUGAUGUAGAAAGACAAUGUAAUCGUAUCAUCAAAUGCUGAAGGAAAAUGUCCACCUAGAAUUUUAUACCCAAAACAAUCACUCAAGAUUAAGAGCUGAACAAACAUAUUUUCUGACACAAACCAAGAAGUUCACCCUCACUAAAUGAGUUAUUUAUCUAAUUCCUGAGCAAAACAAAACAAAACAAAAAACAAACAAAAUAAGCCAGAUGGAAGGCGUGGAAUUCAAGAAAGGAUAGUAAGCAAAAAAAGGAAUUAAACCAAAAUAAGUAUUGUCCACAAAAACAAGCAAGCAAACAAACAAAAACCCAAAACCAAGAAACCCCAGCAACAACCAAUUAAUAAUAUAAGAUUUGACACUCCCUGUGUCCUGAAGCACUCUCCUCUCUUAGCUUUCUUGGCAUCACAUUUUCCUAAAAUCUCAUUGCCUGCUCCUUCUCAUUCUCCUUCAUUGCCAUCACCUUCAAGUUCAACCUCUGAAUGUGGUAGUUCUGUUACUGGUAGAAGGUGUCCAGGUUCUUGGUGUUUUGAACAAAGAAUUAGACAAAAUGCAUAAACCAACAAAAGAAAAACACAGAUUUAUUGAAACAGAAGUACACUCCACAGAGCAGGAGUGGGCUCCAGCAAGCGGCUCAAGACAGCCUGUUACAGAAUUUUCUGGGGUUUAAAUACCCUCUAGAAGUUUCCCAUUGGUUACUUGGUUUACACCCUAUGUAAAUGAAGUAGUGGCCUGCAACCAGUCUGAUAGGUUGUAGAAGGUGACCAAUCAGAGGCUGAAGUGAAGUUACAACGUUACACAUGAAGACUUGGCCUAUGACCAGUCUGAUUGGUUGCAGGAAGGGACCAAUCAGAGGUACUUUAAUUUUUCAUCUGCAAGGCAGAAAAAAGGUCGGGGGGUGGGUUGCAAAGGGAGUAAGCCCUGAUUCUUUUGUUACUUGGGUGUGCAAAGGUGAGGUUUUCCUUUUCAUUCAGUUUUAAGUAGUCAGAGUGAAUCAGCCUGGGUUCCCUGCCUCCAGACCCUGUUCUCCUGCCACAGUUUCUCAAACCUGGUCCUGGAACCGUCUGUUUUUCUCCCUCUCCCUAGAAGGUUAAUAUGGUUUGGCUCCGUGUCCCCACCCAAAUCUCACCUUGAAUUAUAAUAAUCCCCAUGUGUCAUGGGAGGGACCAGGUGGAGGUAAUUGGAUCAUGGGGGCAGUUUCCCCCAUGCUGUUUUCGUGAUAAUGAGUGAGUCUCGUGAGAAUCUGAUGGUUUUAUAAGUGUCUGACAUUUCCCCUGCUUGCACUCAUUCUCUCUCCUGCUGCCCUGGGAAGAGGUGCCUUCAGCCAUGAUUAUAAGUUUCCUGAGGCCUCCCCAGCGAUAAGAAACUGUGAGUUGGCUGGACGCGGUGGCUCACGCCUGUAAUCCCAGCACUUUGGGAGGCCGAGGCGGGUGGAUCAUGAGGUCAGGAGUUCAAGACCAGCCUGGCCAAGAUGGUGAAACCCCGUCUCUACUAAAAAUACAAAAGUUACAGCGCGCCUGUAAUCCCAGCUACUCGGGAUGCUGAGGCAGGAGAAUCUCUUGAACCUGGGGGGUGGAGGUUGCAGCGAGCGAGAUCGCGCCACUGCACUCCAGCCUGGGUAACAGAGCGAGAUUA